CCUACGGGGGGCAGCAGUGGGGGAUAUUGCACAAUGGGGGAAACCCUGAUGCAGCGACGCCGCGUGAGUGAAGAAGUAUUUCGGUAUGUAAAGCUCUAUCAGCAGGGAAGAAAAUGACAGUACCUGACCAAGAAGCCCCGGCUAACUACGUGCCAGCAGCCGCGGUAAUACGUAGGGGGCAAGCGUUAUCCGGAUUUAUUGGGUUUAAAGGGUGCGUAGGCGGAAUGCCAAGUCAGCGGUAAAAUCGCGGGGCUCAACCUCGCUCCGCCGUUGAAACUGGCGUUCUUGAGUGGGCGAGAAGUAUG
rnacentral:rRNA from 1 species